rnacentral:tRNA from 1 species
GAGGAUAUAGCUCAGAGGUAGCGCAUGUGCUUAGCAUGCAUGAGGUCCUUGGUUCAAUCCCCAGUGCCUCCA